CGAGUAAACUUGAACAAGUGGGCUUUGCUUCUUUGACAGUUUGGAAUAUGAAAACAUGGAAAGCUAUGACAGUCCUUCCGCUUGGUGAGGAUCCUUCAGCAAUCACCUCACUAUCAUUCAAUCAUAACGGAAAAAUCUUAGCAGCCUCUGCUACUGAUGGAAUGAUUCAUAUGUUUGACAUGUCUGCUAGCCUGCAAAUAACAGGAUGGCCUGCCCAUGAUUCAGUAG